AUGAAGGUUGUGUUGCCUGGAUCUGCCCCGCGUGUUUCCAGAGAGGCAGCAAUGUUUGAGGGUCUCGUCUUUGAGGACAUGGCUAAUAUGGAUUAUUGCCUACUGAUGGUUGAUGAGCUUAGAAGGGCUGUUGCCAAGUACCAAAGUGGUCAUACCAUGGGGAAGGCAAUCACAGGCUGUGCCAUAGGGCCUGUACUAAUGUACCUUGACUGCCUUAUCCAUGGCAAAACUGCGGAGCCUGACAUGCGAGUCCCCCGCAUAUGUUACAUGGAUCCUGCCAAGCUUUCUAAUCUGGUUGAUGCAUAUUUGAUAAAAAAAGGCAAUGCAGAUCCAAAGACUUGGGUGUUUGGGAAGCUUUGGAAAACUCAAGAGGAGGUUCUUUUUUUCCGAGUGUAUAAACGGCCAGUCCUGGAGAUGCCGUCGUCUCAGGUUCCGAAGUUUUCAUCUCUGCCCAAUGAGUUGAGGGAUGGCCGUGGUGUUGAGGGUGCUGGUUAUGCCCCCCUGGCCCUAGUAAUGCUAGUGCUUCCCAGAGGCAGGGUUUUGGUAUUGAUGUUGCUGUUUCAGCGUUGGAGCGUGCUGAGCAUAUCUUAA
rnacentral:rRNA from 1 species